rnacentral:rRNA from 1 species
UACGUAGGGCGCAAGCGUUAUCCGGAAUUAUUGGGCGUAAAGAGCUCGUAGGCGGUUUGUCGCGUCUGCCGUGAAAGCCCGGGGCUCAACCCCGGAGGUGCGGCCGAGACUGCAGGGCUGGAGGCCGGAAGAGGAGGGUGGAAUACCCAGUGUAGAGGUGAAAUUCGUAGAUAUUGGGUGGAACACCGGUGGCGAAAGCGGCUCUCUGGUCCGGUAUUGACGCUGAUGCGCGAAAGCCAGGGGAGCAAACGGG